rnacentral:rRNA from 1 species
CCUACGGGAGGCAGCAGUGAGGAAUAUUGGUCAAUGGACGAGAGUCUGAACCAGCCAAGUAGCGUGAAGGAUGACUGCCCUAUGGGUUGUAAACUUCUUUUAUAAAGGAAUAAAACGAGGCACGUGUGCCUUUUUGCAUGUACUUUAUGAAUAAGGCUCGGCUAACUCCGUGACAGCAGCCGCGGUAAUACGGAGGAUCCGAGCGGUAUCCGUAUUUAUUGGGUUUAAAGGGAGCGUAGAUGGGUUGUUAAGUCAGUUGUGAAAGUUUGCGGCUCAACCGUAAAAUUGCAAUUGAUAAUGGCAGUCUUGAGUACAGUUGAGGUAGGCGGAAUUCGUGGUGUAGCGGUGAAAUGCUUAGAUAUCACGAAGAACCCCGAUUGCGAAGGCAGCUUACUAAACUGUGACUGACAUUGAUGCUCGAAAGUGUGGGUAUCAAACAGGAUUAGAUACCCUUGUAGUC